rnacentral:lncRNA from 1 species
GGAAGUGACUGGAUGUGGAGAGGAGUGUAUCCGCGAAGGAACGCACAAGUGGCCUGACCUGCAGAAGAACGCUAGCUAGGCACUAGGCAUGCCGGCAAGGUCAGCUGAGAGCUGACCCCAGUGCAACGUGGAGGAGUUUGGUUGGGGCAGUCGGAGGAGCACCUGGGCCGCCAAGCGGCCAGACUUCGGGGGAAAGCCAUCUCUCUUCUGGCGCCUUUAUCGGCAGAGAGCUACUUGUACUCAAAACCUUGCACUCAUUCUCCAAGCCCACGUGGGUAAGAUUCACCCACACUGCGGAGGGCGUCGGAGCUCCACAGCCUGCCUGUCUGUAUGCUCCCAUAGAGGUUUGAGCAGCGGGGCACUGGAGAAGCAAGUCACACCCCCAUUGCACGCCAUGGGAGUAGGACAAGGUAACUUUUCCUGUUUCACUGUGACAAUACGAUUCACACCCCUUUUUCCUCUUCGUUCUAUAGUUACUGCUGAAAAGUCAAGAUAGGGUUGUUCUAUUGUAAAUGAUCUCUCUCUUUUUUCUGACUGCUUUUAGAAAUGUUCAUUUAAUCAUUGAUAUUUGGUGGUUUUCCUAUGUGUUUAGCCAUUUAUUUUCUAGGAUUCUUGGGCUCCUUGAUCAUAAGAAUUAGGUCCUUUAACAGUUUUGGUUGGAAAAUUCUCAGCUAUUGUUUUUUCAUAUUUGCUUUCUCUUAUUUUCGCCUUAUGAAUUCCAAGUAGAUAGAUGUUGGAACCUCUCAUACCGUCUUUCAUGUGUCUUAAACUCUUUUUACCAUAUUUAUCUUUUGGUAUCUGUGCUUAUGUUAAAAUGUAUCCACAGGAUUUUAAUGUGUAGAGGUGACAGAGUGAGGACAUGGAGCAGUCAGUGCCACUGGGAAGAAAAGUUUAUUACUCAGUUUCCUAGAAGUGAGAGGCAUUGCUUGCUAUGCAGAAACACAUGGGGCAGCCCCAGAGCUGGUCAGGAGGCAGGGUAGGAGUGAAAGAGAAGCACAGGCCAUAGCCGUUUUUGGAGUUUCUGUGGGAAAGUCAAGGCAGGGCAGAGUAAACUUGGCUAGUUUGAGUAAUUCUGGCAGGAUUUGGGGCAUAGCGGCUGUCUGUAAUUGUCUGGUCAUUGGCCACAUUGAUUUGGGGCAGGGAAAAUAUUGGCUUGGAUUGUGAGAGUUAAAGCAGAAAGUUGGGGGUAUGAAGUUGGGAUUGGUUGGUUUGUAGAUAAAAGAUAUGUUCACAGGUGACUUGUUGAUUAUCUCUAGUAAUUAGCCCUGGAAGCUGCAGUCUCUCUGAAGCUGGCAGGCUCCCACUCUAAGAUGUCAAAACAUCAUAAAAUAAAAAAAACGAAAUACUGUGCUCUUUUCUAGAAAUUGUUUCAUCUCUAUUUUCUAGUUCACUAAUUUUGUCUUCAGUGGAAUCAAAGC